GGAGAGUGCGAGCGUUAAUCGGAAUUACUGGGCGUAAAGCGCACGUAGGUGGAUGUAUUAGUCGGAUGUGAAAGCCCCGGGCUUAACUCGGGAACUGCAUUCGAUACUGUGCAUCUAGAGUAUGGUAGAGGGAAGUGGAAUUUCCGGUGUAGCGGUGAAAUGCGUAGAUAUCGGAAGGAACACCAGUGGCGAAGGCGACUUCCUGGACCAAUACUGACACUGAGGAGCGAAAGCGUGGGGGAGCAAACAGGAUUAGAGACCCUGGUAGUCCACGCCGUAAACGAUGAGAACUAGGCGAUAGGAGGGCGACCCUCUUAGUGCCGCAGCUAACGCGUUAAGUUCUCCGCCUGGGAUACGGCCGCAAGGUUA
rnacentral:rRNA from 1 species